rnacentral:rRNA from 1 species
GACAGAGGAUGCAAACGUUGCUCGGAAUUACUGGGCGUAAAGCGCGCGCAGGUGGUCCGGUAAGUCGGGUGUGAAAUCCCGGGGCUCAACCUCGGAAGUGCACUCGAUACUGCUGGACUUGAGUACUGGAGAGGAGAGCGGAAUUCCCGGUGUAGAGGUGAAAUUCGUAGAUAUCGGGAGGAACACCAGUGGCGAAGGCGGCUCUCUGGACAGAUACUGACACUGAGGCGCGAAAGCGUGGGAAGCAAACAGG